rnacentral:rRNA from 1 species
CAGCAGCCGCGGUAAUACGUAGGGUGCAAGCGUUAAUCGGAAUUACUGGGCGUAAAGCGUGCGCAGGCGGUUAUAUAAGACAGAUGUGAAAUCCCCGGGCUCAACCUGGGAACUGCAUUUGUGACUGUAUAGCUAGAGUACUGCAGAGGGGGAUGGAAUUCCGCGUGUAGCAGUGAAAUGCGUAGAUAUGCGGAGGAACACCGAUGGCGAAGGCAAUCCCCUGGGCCUGUACUGACGCUCAUGCACGAAAGCGUGGGGAGCAAACAGGAUUAGAUACCCCCGUAGUCCCUGUCUCUUAUAC